rnacentral:rRNA from 1 species
UGGAGAGUUUGAUCCUGGCUCAGAUUGAACGCUGGCGGCAGGCCUAACACAUGCAAGUCGAGCGGAUGAAGAGAGCUUGCUCUCUGAUUCAGCGGCGGACGGGUGAGUAAUGCCUAGGAAUCUGCCUGAUAGUGGGGGACAACGUUUCGAAAGGAACGCUAAUACCGCAUACGUCCUACGGGAGAAAGUGGGGGAUCUUCGGACCUCACGCUAUCAGAUGAGCCUAGGUCGGAUUAGCUAGUUGGUGAGGUAAUGGCUCACCAAGGCUACGAUCCGUAACUGGUCUGAGAGGAUGAUCAGUCACACUGGAACUGAGACACGGUCCAGACUCCUACGGGAGGCAGCAGUGGGGAAUAUUGGACAAUGGGCGAAAGCCUGAUCCAGCCAUGCCGCGUGUGUGAAGAAGGUCUUCGGAUUGUAAAGCACUUUAAGUUGGGAGGAAGGGCAGUAAAUUAAUACUUUGCUGUUUUGACGUUACCGACAGAAUAAGCACCGGCUAACUCUGUGCCAGCAGCCGCGGUA